rnacentral:rRNA from 1 species
UACGUAGGGUGCGAGCGUUAAUCGGAAUUACUGGGCGUAAAGCGUGCGCAGGCGGUUGUGCAAGACAGGGGUGAAAUCCCCGGGCUCAACCUGGGAACUGCAUUUGUGACUGCAAGGCUGGAGUGCGGCAGAGGGGGAUGGAAUUCCGCGUGUAGCAGUGAAAUGCGUAGAUAUGCGGAGGAACACCGAUGGCGAAGGCAAUCCCCUGGGCCUGCACUGACGCUCAUGCACGAAGGCGUGGGGAGCAAACAGG